AAAUCUCAAACCCUAAUUUUAAAAAACCAAAUUCUCCCUGUUUCGUCUUCCUCUCUCUCUCUAUCACCAAAGACGGAAAGCCAACGCCGGUGAAGCAGCCGGUGAAGAAGCCAACGCCGUCGACGGAAUCCGGUGAAGCAGCCGGUGAAGAAGCCAACGCUGUCUUCCAGCACCCCAACGCCGGCAGCACCACCGCCGGUGAAGCAGCGUCCACCAGCCAUCCGCUUCCCGUGAGGGAAUCUAUAAGCAGAUUGAAGCUGCUAUUUUGAAUUAUCAAGAAAUUAAGGAAAAUAUCAAAGGACGAAUUUAGGCGUCUUGUUGGUGAGUAUCGUAGUAGUUAGCCUCCUGAAAGUCAGGGUGACCCAAUACCCGAUCAUGCACGGAAUGAGUUAUUGAAACAAGCUUCGGGUCCUGCAAAUAGAGGCAAUUUCUACGGAUGCCCCACAGAAUAUUACGGCGAUAGUAUUAGGAGUUCGUCUGAUCCUGCAUACUCUAUCUCUUCGGUUGAUACAAAAACCAUUGAAAGACUACAAAAUACGGUUUCUCAACUCACUCAAGAGCUUGCUGAACAGAGAAAGAGUUAAAAGAAGGCGGAGAAGGCAACAUCACAAUUCAGGAAGCAGCAGCAGCAGUUCAGUUUUUUCAUUCAGACUGCAGGGGUUAUUCCUCCGUGUUUUGGUGAUGCAGUUCGGGCUGCAAAAGGUCUAGGCCCCCUCGAUGAUUUCAGCACUGAUGAGGACAUGGAAGAGGAGGACAAAUUCGAUGAUGCUGACUGUUAGUUUUGGUUUUUGUAUGUUUUUGACAUUUUGUUGUUUGCAACUAUGGUUGUUGUUGUUGUAUGCUGUAUUUGGGUUUUGCAAUUUUUUUUUUUUUUUUUUAAA